AACCAGACUCCUACGGGAGGCAGCAGUGGGGAAUAUUGCACAAUGGGGGAAACCCUGAUGCAGCGACGCCGCGUGAGUGAAGAAGUACUUCGUUAUGUAAAGCUCUAUCAGCAGGGAAGAAAAUGACGGUACCUGAGUAAGAAGCCCCGGCUAACUACGUGCCAGCAGCCGCGGUAAUACGUAGGGGGCAAGCGUUAUCCGGAUUUACUGGGUGUAAAGGGAGCGUAGACGGCAGUGCAAGUCUGGAGUGAAAUGCCGGGGCCCAACCCCGGAACUGCUUUGGAAACUGUGCAGCUCGAGUGCAGGAGAGGUAAGCGGAAUUCCUAGUGUAGCGGUGAAAUGCGUAGAUAUUAGGAGGAACACCAGUGGCGAAGGCGGCUUACUGGACUGUAACUGACGUUGAGGCUCGAAAGCGUGGGGAGCAAACAGGAUUAGAUACCCCAGUACA
rnacentral:rRNA from 1 species